CCUACGGGAGGCAGCAGUAGGGAAUCUUCCACAAUGGGCGAAAGCCUGAUGGAGCAACGCCGCGUGAGUGAUGAAGGCCUUCGGGUUGUAAAACUCUGUCAUUCGGGACGAACCGGAGUCUGAGGAAAUGCAGACUCUCUGACGGUACCGGAGGAGGAAGCCCCGGCUAACUACGUGCCAGCAGCCGCGGUAAUACGUAGGGGGCAAGCGUUGUCCGGAUUCACUGGGCGUAAAGCGCGCGCAGGCGGUGAUGUAAGUCUGAGGUGAAAACCCGAAGCUCAACUUCGGGACUGCCUUGGAUACUGCGUCACUUGAGGAUAGGAGAGGCAAGGGGAAUUCCACGUGUAGCGGUGAAAUGCGUAGAGAUGUGGAGGAACACCUGUGGCGAAGGCGCCUUGCUGGCCUAUUCUGACGCUGAGGCGCGAAAGCGUGGGGAGCAAACAGGAUUAGAUACCCUGGUAGUCCACGCUGUAAACGAUGAGUGCUAGGUGUAGGUGGGCUCAUACCCAUCUGUGCCGAAGCUAACGCAUUAAGCACUCCGCCCUGGGGGAGGUACGGUCGCGAGACGUAGAACGUACAAGUAGAAGUUAGACGGCGUUGAGGACGNGCCGACGGACGACGACGAGGGAGGAGG
rnacentral:rRNA from 1 species